GAUGAAGAACGCAGCGAAAUGCGAUAAGUAAUGUGAAUUGCAGAAUUCAGUGAAUCAUCGAAUCUUUGAACGCACCUUGCACCCUUUGGUAUUCCGAAGGGUACGCUCGUUUGAGUGUCAUUGUACUCUCACACUUCUAAUUCCUUUCGGGAUUGGGAGCGGUGGACUUGGGUGUUGCUGCUUUAGUUGUGGCUCACCUCAAAUAAGUUAGUGCAACUCUUGGUUGGACAUAGUACGGCGUGAUAAGUGUCUUCGCCGGCGCCUCUGUAAGGAGGGUGGCCGAUCGGGAGCUCUGUGCUUCAAACCGUCUUCGGACAAUCUUUGACAACUUGACCUCAAAUCGAGUAGGACUACCCGCUGAACUUAAGCAUAUCAAUAAGCGGAGGA
rnacentral:misc_RNA from 1 species